UACAGUCUGGCACAUGAACUUGAAUCUUGUUUGGGAAUUUUUUGGUGGAGUGUCUUUCUAAAAUGCAGUCUGCUGAUUUAUUUAUUUAUUUUUUUUAAAAGGCUGACAGUUAAUUAGCAGAGAGUCUUAUUACAGAAGUCUCCUCUAAAGCAGACAUAUUCAAGUUAUACUGAGGUGAUUGUCAUAAAGGGGUUGUUUGCUGUGGCGCUCACAGAUGGCAGAAAAGACAGCCCAGGAACGCAAACAGCCUGAUAAUCAAGAUAGCUUUAAAAUAUGGGAUAAAAUCACCUGGGACUGAGCAUUUGCCAUUCUCUUUAGACGGGGCAUAGUUUCUCCAAUUUGCUCCAGUCCUCAGUACUUCUUAGAGAGAUUUCCUCCAAACCUACUUCAAGCAUUCAUUAUCUGCCUCCAUCUGUAGGCAUAUUAAUCUGUUAGGAAAUCUCAACAUUUUAUGAAUAUUUACCAAGCUUUCACCAUCAAUCCUGAGGAUCAACAGUCUAAUCCUGCCACUUAAGCCACAUCUAACAUAGUACUGGAUCUGCUGUUUUGGAAACUAAUUGAUAAAAUUCUAUUAAACAGACUAAAUUGAGGUGAAAAUAGACCUAAAGACCAUGGAUGCAUCAGUUAGAUCAAAAUUUUUAUCUUUUCAUGCAUGUUAACCACAUGAAUAUACUUUUAAAGUUACAGCAAUUAUCAUACACAUCUAUUUCUACAAAUUAUGCAUAAAACACUGGUAUUAGAGAGAAUGCAGUAUUUGAGAGCUUUAGGAAAUCCUAUUCUUAUCACUAGAAAAAUGUGGAUGUACCAUUACUCAGAGAAAUUUUUAUAUGAUGCUAAAUAUAUUACAAUAAAAUUAGCUUCUAUGAUUCACAUUUACUAACAGCUCUGAAAGUUUCCUCACCUUGUAUAUAGAUUCUGAUUGGAAUAUUUUUUGAAAAUGUUUUUCUUAUGUAUUUAAUUUUUUCAAUAAUGGUUGAUAUUUUUGUGCUGAAAUGGGCUUAAAUAUAACUUUAGAAACAAUUUAAAAUAAGACAGUUUACAUUAGAAAUAAUAAUUGUGUUUAAGUUAAACCAAGACUAAUUUUUAAAAAAAAAAAGACCAGCUUUACUGACUUUAGGAGAAACAAAAGCCUUGAGCACAGUCAGUUUGGCAUAAUGGAGCAUUGCUGAACUGGAAGCCUGAGAAUUAUGCUGUCUGUUGAUUACAUUCUCUGUCACUCAGAAUGUAAUGAGACCAUUUUCUGUUCUGUAAAAUGGGAAUUAAAAUGCUUUUUGUAUCUCUUUUUCAGGGUAGUUGUAAGGAUCAAAUAUAAAAAAGAGUGAAAACACAUUAAUCUUAAGUGACACAAAGUUAUUUAAAGAAUGGGUUAGUGUUAUCUCAAUUAUUGACUUUUUUUCACUACAAUGGUCAUUUUCCCUUUUUGGUUUUCAUUGAUGGUGUCUGUCCUUACUUCCUCUGAAUUAAGUUUUGGAACUUUUUUUUUUUUUCACCAUUGGGUAAAAUUAGAAAGAAUCCUACAUCAAGCAGCAAGAUGACUUAGCUGUUACAUUGUAAAAUUCCAAAAAAACUAUUAGGGAUGUGGGCCCAUUUAGGAACUUCUGUUUUAUAAGGCAUGUUGGUGUAGAAGUGUAUGAGUAGAACUCCACAAAAUAUACUUAACAUUUACCCCUGAGUAAGCUGGCAAAUCUGAGUGAAAGGAAGCCCAAGUCUCCACUCUUGCUUCCAGUUCUCCUGCUUACAAAGCGAACUGUGUCUGGCAAUUCCCGCAAAGCCAAAGGGGGAAGCACUUUUUUUGUAAGCUACCCUUAACUGGCAGCAUUUAAUGCACUACACUAAUAUCCUAACAACAUCUUUACAGCAGCUUCAGUCAAGUCCUGCGCAUCCCUUAACUUCCAGGCCUGGGAAGAGAACUUGGCUUGAAGCCACCAGGAGGUGGGGAGUUGGGGAGCUGGGGAGUUGGGAGCUGGGAAGAAGGAUGGCCCCGGGCUCCAUCCAGUAUUAGAAACAGGGGCAGGAGGCUGGCGGGUGAAGGGGGAGGACACCACUUGGUAUCCUUUCUAAGUGAUUCCUGGGUUACUCUGACUUUGUUUUAAUCAUCACGUGAACUAAUUACAAUGCUAAUUAACCCUAGUUUACGGGGACUGCUGUGCAUUUGUACAGGAGGCUUCUUUGUUUGAUCUGCUACAUCAUAAGCUUACCAGCACGGAGGGAUAGCAUGUAUCGUUGAACGUAGAAGAACACACCUUCAUCUGUAUUAAUGAAGAAAACUAUUGAAAACCAGCAGACUAAUUAAGGGUAAUGAUGAACAAUUUUGAUCAGCAAUUAUGUUUUAAUAUUGAAGUUCGCUCUUGGAAAGAGUAGAAUGGGGAUGAUCAUCUUCCAGCUUCUACCCAGAAAGGUAGCCAGAGAGAUCCUGCUUCAUUUCCAUUUCUUCUCCCACAAACUGUUUUAACAUAUAAUUGAAUCGAUGCCUCUAUUUCAAAAGAAAAAAAAGUAAUUAUAGAGCUUGUUGGGAUCCUUUCUGAAGAGAGGACAUUAUGUGUGCAUGAAUUCCAUCGGUGAUCUGAGGAGGAGCAGCACGCUGCUUGGACCAUUACCCAUCAUUGCCGAACAGCAGAGUAAUUAAUUGGGCAAAUACAUCUAGAUCUGGUGAAUUCACAUGCACAGUAACUAGGCAGCAGCAACACACACUCUUUUACUGUGAAUAAAAUAGCGAUAGUUUUCUGUGUC